rnacentral:sRNA from 1 species
UAGAGGCGGUGGAGACAGGAACGAAGCCAAGGUGGCGGAGGCGGGAGGCGGGAGGGAAA